rnacentral:rRNA from 1 species
GACGAACGCUGGCGGCGUGCUUAACACAUGCAAGUGGAGCGACGAACCUGGCUUCGGCCAGGGGCAAAGCCGCGAACGGGUGAGUAACACGUGGGUAACGUGCCCCGAUGACUGGGACAACCCGGGGAAACCCGGGCUAAUACCGGAUGUGCUCCUUCCACACCAGUGGAUUGAGUAAAGGUAGCUUCGGCUUCCGCAUCGGGAUCGGCCCGCGGCGCAUUAGCUUGUUGGUGAGGUAACGGCUCACCAAGGCCGCGAUGCGUAGCUGGUCUGAGAGGACGAUCAGCCACACUGGGACUGAGACACGGCCCAGACUCCUACGGGAGGCAGCAGUGGGGAAUCUUGCGCAAUGCGCGAAAGCGUGACGCAGCAACGCCGCGUGGGGGAAGAAGGCCUUCGGGUUGUAAACCCCUUUCAGGAGGGACGAAGCCUGGCUGGUGAAUAGCCGUCCAGGUGACGGUACCUCCACAAGAAGCCCCGGCUAACUACGUGCCAGCAGCCGCCGUAAAAC